GUGGGCGUAGCCCAGAGGCUUAAGGCGCCAGGUUGUGGCCCUGGAGAUCGAGGGUUCGAAUCCCUCCGUCCACCCCA
rnacentral:tRNA from 1 species